rnacentral:rRNA from 1 species
AUUGAACGCUGGCGGGAGGCCUAACACAUGCAAGUCGAACGAGUGGCGGACGGGUGAGUAAUGUCUGGGAAACUGCCCGAUGGAGGGGGAUAACUACUGGAAACGGUAGCUAAUACCGCAUACCAUCGGAUGUGCCCAGAUGGGAUUAGCUAGUAGGUGGGGUAAAGGCUCACCUAGGCGACGAUCCCUAGCUGGUUUGAGAGGAUGACCAGCAACACUGGAACUGAGACACGGUCCAGACUCCUACGGGAGGCAGCAGUGGGGAAUAUUGGACAAUGGGCGAAAGCCUGAUGCAGCCAUCCCGCGUGUAUGAAGAAGGCCUUCGGGUUGUAAAGUACUUUCAGCAGGGAAGCGGUACCCGCAGAAUAAGCACCGGCUAACUCCGUGCCAGCAGCCGCGGUAAUUC